GACGAACGCUGGCGGCGUGCUUAACACAUGCCAGUCGAACGGAAAGGCCCUGCUUUUGUGGGGUGCUCGAGUGGCGAACGGGUGAGUAACACGUGAGUAACCUGCCCUUGACUUUGGGAUAACUUCAGGAAACUGGGGCUAAUACCGGAUAGGAGCUCCUGCUGCAUGGUGGGGGUUGGAAAGUUUCGGCGGUUGGGGAUGGACUCGCGGCUUAUCAGCUUGUUGGUGGGGUAGUGGCUUACCAAGGCUUUGACGGGUAGCCGGCCUGAGAGGGUGACCGGGCAGAAGGGGAGGAAGGGACAGAGGAGACGGAUACGGGAGGCAGCAGCGGGGAGGAGGGGAGGACGGGCGGAGGGGUGAAGGAGAAACGCGGCGGGGGGGAGGAGGGAGGGCGGGUUGUGAAAAAGGAACGCCCGUGACGAAGCGGGAGGGAAGGGAAGGUAUAAAGAAGAAAAGAAAAACGAAGGG
rnacentral:rRNA from 1 species